GCCGGCGUGGCGCAAUGGUAGCGCGUAGCUUUCCUAUUCUGACGGUUAAGGCUGAAGUUGCGGGUUCGAUCCCCGUCGUCGGUU